AAAAGACGUAUAAAUGAGAAUGUGCUAGUAACGGGCUCCUCCGACUUGGAGUAGGUUGUAGUUGUGAAUUGUGAUGUGGGCCACCGAUAUUGAGCGUAUGGUUCACGCCAAACUCCAGUUUCUCUGGUAAGAUAGUUUCAGAAUGCUC